GGAAGAACAAAAUGCUUCUUCCCAAGGAACUAUGCAAAAAAAAUUCUGCAACACACCAGUGAUCUAAUAGAGGCAGGUGCAACAUCACAAAGGCCUGCUGUGACCAUGAAAAACCAAAAAGAUGUCAACUGUACCCCACAAAAAAAAAGACAGGAAAACAAGAUAUACAUGCUAUCAGUGUAAGUGAGGCUUGUGUAUGAAAUAGGCAGUUUUCAUGUGUGAAGACUUCCAUGAGUAUGACAACUGAAGCAAAGAUUAUUUCUAUGGAAAUAUCAACUUGGUUCCCAUAGAGAACUCAUCUUGUAUUCUCUUCCAAAUGGCUGUUAUGACAAAGUCUCAAUGCUAUUAACAGCCCACCAAACUGGGCCAGGAAUGGAGCUUGGCACAAAGUAAGCACACAGUAAAUACUGGAGUGGCCAAAUGAGGAAAGGUUGGAAGGAAUGAAGGAAGGAAAGGAGGCAGCAGGAAUGAAUGAAGCAUGGCCGCCCUUCCUGGUAUUAAUUCACUAUUGACAUCUUCCUACAUGGGGAGAAGAGGGACUGAUCCUCCCUUCAUUUGAUGGAUGAAGAAGGCAAGAAAAUAUCUUGCAAGUGUCCACUCUGAGAUGCUAGACAAACACAACUCCCGUUAUCAAGGGGCUUUCUGCUUCUCCCAAAAUACCAGUCCAAAUGCCACACCAAGGAGCAUGUAAAAAGAAUAUUUUUGCAGAACCUAUGCUUAACACAGAUUGAUUCAAGGAUCAAAGCUGAUGCCAUUGAUUUUGAGCUCACACAAAGUGCUCUCCACUCAGAUUUAAGCUCUCCCUACACACAGACCCCGACAUGGUCCACGGUAAUCCAGUCAACAACCACCCAGGGAUUGUUAUUACAGGGGGCAAUGCCCUGGGCUGAAGGGGGCUCAGUCUCCAGGUUCACAGAGCUCCUUCCAGGGGAGGAUCUCUAGGGUAGGAAAGGUAAACACACAAAUGAAUAAAUGAUAUAUAAUUCACAUAGCAAGUACAAGGAAGGUAAGGAAUGACCAUUCUCACAGCUUCAGUACA
rnacentral:lncRNA from 1 species